UUUCGAAGACUAAGCCAUGCAUGUCUAAGUAUAAGUUUUUAUACAACGAAACUGCGAAUAGCUCAUUAAAACAAUUAUAGUCUAUGUGGAAAUCUUUACUACACGGAUACCUGUGGUAAUUCUGGAGCUAAUACGUGCCUAAAACAUCCAUUAGGAUGUCACUUAUUAGAUUAGAACCAAACUGUGCUUGCACAGUCGCCUGGUGAUCCAUAAUAAGGUCGUGAAUCGCAUGGUUAAGGCCGGCGAUGUUCCACACGAGUUUUUGACUUAUCAGCUAGACGAUAGGGUAUUGUCCUAUCGUGGCAUUGACGAGUAACGGGGAAUUAGGGUUUGAUUCCGGAGAGGGAGCCUGAGAAACAGCUACCACUUCCACGGAAGGCAGCAGGCGCGCAAAUUGUCCAAUCUCAAUACAUUGGGGAGACAGUGAAAAGAAAUAUCAGUGCAGGGCCUUUCGGCUUUGCAAUUGGAAUGAGUUAAAUUUAAACCCUUUUACAAGUAUCAAUUGGAGGGCAAGUCUGGUGCCAGCAGCCGCGGUAAUUCCAGCUCCAAUAGCGUAUAUUAAAGUUGUUGCAGUUAAAACGCUCGUAGUUGAAAGUCUGCUUAUGACAACGGGUCAUCCCUCACGGGCAUGUACUCUUUGUCACUGGCAUUAUUACGAUGCAUUCAACGGGUAACCGUUGUGUGUGUUCGUAAACGUUACUUUGAGAAAAUUAGAGUGUUUCAAGCAGGCGCAACGCCUUGAAUACUUCAGCAUGGAAUAACAAUUAAGGACUUAGGGCCUUUUGUUGGUUCAAGGACCUGAGUAAUGAUUAAGAGGAACAGUCGGGGGUAUUCGUACUUGGUCGUCAGAGGUGAAAUUCUUAGAUUGACUGAAGACGAACUACUGCGAAGGCAUCUACCAUGGAUGUUUUCAUUAAUCAAGAACGAAAGUUAAGGGAUCGAAGAUGAUCAGAUACCAUCGUAGUCUUAACCAUAAACUAUGCCGACUAGAGAUCGGAAGUUGCCAAUCAUAUGACUUUUUCGGCACCUUAUGAGAAAUCAAAGUCUUUGGGUUCUGGGGGAAGUAUGAUCGCAAGGUUGAAACUUAAAGGAAUUGACGGAAGGGCACCACCAGGAGUGGAGCCUGCGG
rnacentral:rRNA from 1 species